rnacentral:lncRNA from 1 species
AAGUAUAAUUAGUUGAUGUUACGUUAUUUUGAUAGUUUAUAAAGGAAAAUACGACUUAACACUUCAUAUAAGUUCAUACCUAUAUGUUAUUUGAGUGCAUCUAAAUAUUAGUCUUCAAUUUUAGUUAAGUUGUAUUGUUAACCAAGUAAUAUUUGUUGUGAGUGCAUUCGAGGUUUAAUCUUCGCUUUCUAAGAUGUCUGAAAAGGAAAAGGAGUUAAUUAAAAAACGAGGCAGUUAUAAAGGCCGUGUUACUUCGUUUGGUAAUUACUUGGACAACCUAUCACGAUCACUGGACCGUUCUCAGACAAUCAAUCUGGGCAGUCGAGUGCCGACACGGUUUCGUGUCCCAAGUGUGCCGGUGGACAUAAGCUGAAUUUUUGCCCUCAGUUCUUAAUUUUGAAUACUGAACAACGAUUGAAGCUGUUGCCAGAGUUAAAGAUCGAUGACAGCCCUUCCUACCGAAGACCUGAUGGAUUCUUCAGCGAAUCGCCUUACGCGUUACCAGCGGAUUGAACAACUCCGUCAACAUUUUUGGAGACGUUGGAGCAGAGAAUAUCUGUCGGAGUUGCAGCAGCGUGGCAAAUGGCGCGUCCCAAACAAUCCGUUGAGUAUCGGAGCUUUGGUGGCUGUGAAAGAUGACCAUUUACCACCAUUAAAGUGGAGGAUGGGCCGCAUUAUUGCAUUGCACCCAGGUCAGGAUGGAGUCAGUAGAGUUGCUGACGUGAAGACUGCCGGUGGAGUCGUUCGACGAGCGCACAACAAGAUUUGCGUGUUACCCGUUGAUAGUUAAGUUGGUUGAAAGCUAGAGCUUUCAACGCCCGGGGGUAUGUUCAGUGUUACGUGGGUACCUAUACAUACCUAUCUUUUUUUAACUACUUAGUUUUUAUGUGUCACAUCACUCAUUUUUGCUCCCUGUCUCUCAUCUGUCGAUU